AACGCAUUGCAUCUAAGAAACAAGGCUAUCAACUGUACAACUGCAAUUCAUAUAUAUACAAGAGGAUAAUGAGGCCCUACCUUGACUGCACUGGACGACUGUCCAAUUCUUACAAUGCAAGUUUUGAAGAGGGCAUUGAUUCAUCAAGCCAUCUAAUACUGUGUUAGCUGGACAAAUGCAUCUAUCUAUUGAACAACAUCUACGAGAAAACAUGUGCAUGCAUUCUCCCUAGGCCCAUAUAAACAACCGCUCGCCCAGGCAAUCCCCACUAACCUGAUUUUAUCAUAUGGAAGCACUUCCAAACCUUUUUACACUUGGGAAAGGAAGCUGACUAAGGAGAACAACAAUCCAAAUAGGAUGGCUAUUUACACUUUGGUUAACUUGGUUAUGAUUAUUUGGGAAGCCUCCGAGUGGAAUGAUGGGGCCAGGACAAGAUGUCACUCACAACCUUCUGCAAGGGAGGCUAAUGAAUCUUGUUUUGUAUCUUACAAAUAGCAGGUCAGACCAGAGAUGUGGAUGCCCAAGAAGCAAUGCGCACCAGAAGCUGCG
rnacentral:lncRNA from 1 species